rfam:Branchiostoma floridae genomic scaffold BRAFLscaffold_96, whole genome shotgun sequence.
GUUUAUCUGUGUGUGGAUGGUGUUCAGCACCAAGGACAGGUGUGUUUAUCUGUGUGUGGAUGGUGUUCAGCACCAAGGACAGGUGUGUCUACCU